rnacentral:rRNA from 4 species
GGUGCGAUCAUACCAGCACUAAUGUCACGGAUCC